CCUACGGGAGGCAGCAGUAGGGAAUAUUGCUCAAUGGGGGAAACCCUGAAGCAGCAACGCCGCGUGGAGGCUGAAGGUUUUCGGAUUGUAAACUCCUUUUGUUAGAGAAGAUAAUGACGGUAUCUAACGAAUAAGCACCGGCUAACUCCGUGCCAGCAGCCGCGGUACUACGGAGGGUGCAAGCGUUACUCGGAAUCACUGGGCGUAACGAGCGCGUAGGCGGGAUAGCAAGUCAGAUGUGAAAUCCUAUGGCUUAACCAUAGAACUGCAUUUGAAACUGUUAUUCUAGAGUAGGGGAGAGGUAGGUGGAAUUCUUGGUGUAGGGGUAAAAUCCGUAGAGAUCAAGAGGAAUACUCAUUGCGAAGGCGACCUGCUAGAACAUAACUGACGCUGAUGCGCGAAAGCGUGGGGAGCAAACAGGAUUAGAUACCCCUGUAGUC
rnacentral:rRNA from 1 species